UACGUAGGUGGCUAGCGUUACUCGGAAUCACUAGGCGUAAAGCGCAGGUAGGUGGUUGGAUAAGUCUGUUGUGAAAGCUCCUGGCUCAACUGGGAGAGGUCAACAGAAACUGUCUGGCUAGAGUAUGGCAGGGGAAACUGGAAUUCCCGGAGUAGCGGUGAAAUGCGUAGAUAUCGGGAGGAAUACCGAUGGCGAAAGCAGGUUUCUGGGCCAUAACUGACACUGAGCUGCGAAAGCUAGGGGAGCAAACAGG
rnacentral:rRNA from 1 species